rnacentral:rRNA from 1 species
AAAACAUGUCUUUUUGAUAAAAAUUUAAAGUCCGGUCUGCUCACUGAAUUAUUUUAAAGAGCCGCAGUAUAUUGACUGUGCAAAGGUAGCAUAAUCAAUAGUUUUUUAAUUGAAAACUAGAAUGAAAGAUUAGACGAAAAAUUAAUUUUCUUUAUUUUAAUAAAUUUAAUUUUAAAUUUAAGUGAAAAUGCUUAAAUAUAAUUAAAAGACGAGAAGACCCUAUAGAUUUUUAUUAUUGAAAUAAAUUUUUAAAUUUAAUUUAAUAAAAUAAUUUAAUUGGGGCGAUUUUAUAAUAUAAAUAACUUAAUUUUUUAAAACCAUAAAUAAUUGAAUGUUUGAUCUAAAAUUUUUAAAGGAAAGAUUAAAUUACCUUAGGGAUAACAGCGUAAUUUUAUUUAAGAGUUCAUAUCUAUAAUAAAGUUUGCGACCUCGAUGUUGAAUUAAGAUAAUAUAUUGGAGUAGAAAUUAAUAUAAUUAGUCCGUUCGACUAUUAAAUUCUUACGUGAUCUG